UAUUUCAAGCACAACAUGCGCUUAACACACUAUAAAGUGAGCAAACUAUGUUCUAUUAGUUACAUGUAAAGACAGGAAAAAUAUGGCUAAAACUCUUAAGAAUAUUUAUUCCAUAAUUAUAUUUCUUUCCAUAUUUCUUGUUGUAAUGAACGUUGACGGUGAGCUUAUCAAUUGUAUAACGGAUGAUGAUUGUCCAAAGAGUGAGUUUCGCAAGUGGGUGUGUAUUAACAACAUAUGUAGAAAGAUGUGUAGAACAAAGGUGUGACUGAAUGAGUACCAGAACCAAGAGAGCACACUAACUCCAUGCACGAAAUAAUGGGUUCUUAAGUUGGAAUAUUCUAUAAUUGCCAUUUAGUUAGUUUUUUUGGCACCCAAGAUUAUUUAUUUUUCUUUUUUUCAAUUUCACAGACCUUUCAAUAGGUUUUGUAUUCUAAGAUGUUGGUAAUAAAAUGAAACAUGAGACUAAAUAAUAUUAAAA